AAAAAGAAGAAAAAAGAAAAACAAAUGGAUAACAUAUUUCUGUUUACGCUCAUCGUGCUCUCUUUCGCGUCCUACCUAAAAAUCGUUACCAUCGAGGCUGGAGUUUCCUCAUAUAAAUACACCACACGCCAAAUUCAGCGCACAGUCUUUCAUUAUUAACCGCUUUUGUUCUCUCUUGCCUUCUCUUCUUCUCUUUGACCAUCAUGGACUUCCAAUCUCACGCUUUGAAAUGCUCCGACGGUUCGUCAACGUCUUCGAACCUGGUUCUUUAUUCUUUCUGGCGGAGCUCCUGCUCGUGGCGUGUCCGCUUUGCGUUAAACCUCAAAGGGCUUUCUUACGAGUACAGAGCAGUAGACCUCGGGAGAAGAGAGCAAUUAAAUCCUGAUGCAGAUUUUGAGCGCUUAAAUCCUCUUAAAUACGUUCCUGUAUUAGUAGAUGGUCCCGUGGUAGUUUCAGAUUCGUACGCGAUUUUGCUGUAUCUGGAAGAGAAAUAUCCACAGAAGGCGCUGCUGCCGACUGAUCUUCGUUUAAAAUCUCUUCAUCUUCAAGUGGCAAGUAUAGUCAGCUCAAGCAUACAACCUCUUAUUAUGUUGGAAUUGCUGAAAACCAUCGGGGAAAAAUUUGGUCCAGAAGAGCCGCUACCAUGGGCACAAUCCACUUUAGAAAAAGGCUUCAAUGCUCUUGAGAAACUGCUGAAGGAUUUUUCUGGCCAAUAUGCCUUGGGAGAUGAAGUUCAUAUGGCUGAUGUAUUUUUGGCUCCCCAAAUUUCAAGUGCUAUUGAGAACUUCGGCAUUGACAUGUCUAAGUUUCCUACUUUAGCAAGGAUUUAUAAAUCUUACAAGACGUUACCAGAAUUCCAAGCCUCAUCGCCAGAAAGGCAACUCGAUGCCCUUCAUUAGUCGGUAGAGCGCAAGGCUCUUAACCUUGUGGUCGUGGGUUCGAACCCCACGGUGGGCGAAGGAUUCGAUUCUGCAUUCAAAAAGCCGGUCUAGCUCAGUCGGUAUAGCGCAAGGCUCUUAACCUUGUGGUCGUGGGUUUGAACCCAAUGGUGGGCGAAGGAUUGGGUUCUGCACUCAAAACAGCCCGUCUAGCUCAGUCGGUAGAGCGCAAGGCUCUUAACCUUGUGGUCGUGGGUUCGAACCCCACGGUGGGCGAAGGAUUGGAUUAUCCUUGUGGUCUUGGGUUCGAGCCACACGGUGGGCGAAGGUGUUGUUCCAUGAUUUUUUAACCUAUGGUGCUUUGUUAUUUUGUAAAUUAUUUCUAAUGUAUCAAUGUCAAUUUGGAAAAGGUUUGCUCUUGCAUCCAAAACUGCCCGUCUAGCUCAGUUGGUAGAGCGCAAGGCUCUUAACCUUGUGGUCGUGGGUUCGAACCCCACGGUGGGCGAAGGUAAAAUUUUUUCAAAUUUCACUUUUUAUUACUCUUAUGUAAGUUAUGCCUUUUUGUUUAAAAUUCUCUUCCCAACUAAGGAUGAGAGGCCAACUUAAACAUAUCUAAACUAAUUAUUAAAACACAAAAAUGUUGAAGGUUUAAAUCCCUCCUACCACGUAAUGUGUAGGGAAAAAAAAGGGAAGAAGCUAGAACAAAUCUCUAUUCUUUUUAAUCUUAAAUUAAGAUAGUGUAUGAGAGGUUUAUUUGCAGUA